GCGCCUUCUCUGCAGGCCCUUUCCCGUGGUGGCGUGAGGUGGCGGAGCACCCCCCGUCUGCAGGUCCUCUCAUGAUGUAUCCAAAGUAUGGGAGCCGGAACCUCGCUAUCCUCCGUCCAAGGAAUGCGCUGGCUGUACUCCUCCAAGACAGAUGUUUCUUCUUCCGGCCGCCCAGAGGCUAGAGUACCUAGGAGAAAUCAGACCAGGGAAAGUCAGCAGCCUGAAGCCUGAGGAGCACAGGACCAACAGCCCCGGCUCAAGCACCAACUGCGUGAGGGAGCCACCUCGGAUGCCCCCGCCUAGCUGAGCCCCCAGGGGGCAGAAGAGCUGCCCAGCAGAGCCCAGUCAACCCACAGAGCCAGGAAGGAUCGUCGGCGAGCUGUGGGACGAUUCAUCAGGAAGCAACAGAAGACAGACAACAGACAAAAGAAAUCUGGCUACACAUUUGUGUUUUGGCAAUUUAGGAAUCUAUACGGGGAGGGAACUGGGAACCUGCUUCUAAAGCACUAGGAAGGCUUUCGAGAGUGGGGGCUGCAGUCAGAACACCCAGGGCAGAGCGAUGGGGAGAUGCUCAGAUGGACAAAGACCUACGCCAUAUCAGUGGUUUGUGAUAUGACAGGGCUCGUCACACUAUCUUCAUCAUGCCCCAACCAACCAUCCCUUUUGGUGUGCCCUAAAUUCUGACUUCUGGUACAAUCAGACAGUGCAGUACCUGCUAAAUGGGAGGGAGGUGGAUUGCAUCUCCUAUAUUGUGUGUGUGUGUGUGUGUGUGUGUGUGUGAUGAAGGCAAACGAGGUCUGCAAUAUUUGUCAGUGUGAACACCUCUCUGCUAAGGGGGUUGUUUCUGGUGUAAAAGGUAUAGUGUCUAUUUUUGCACAAAAUGGCUCCUAAACGCAAACUCUUGCUUGGAUUGCAUCUCCGAUAGUGAAUGAAUGAGUGAGUGAGUGAGUGAGUGAGUGAGUGUCAAUUUCAAAAAGAAAAAAAAAAU